AGUAGAUCUAGCUGGUCUGUCAUAAUAUAAUAGAGACAGUAGAUCUAGCUGGUCUGUCAUAAUAUAAUAGAGACAUUAGAUCUAGCUGGUCUGUCAUACUAUAAUUGUGACAGUAGAUCUAGCUGGUCUGUCAUAAUAUAAUAGAGACAUUAUAUCUAGCUGGUCUGUCAUAAUAUAAUAGAGACAUUAGAUCUAGCUGGUCUGUCAUAAUAUAAUAGAGACAUUAUAUCUAGCUGGUCUGUCAUAAUAUAAUAGAGACAGUAGAUCUAGGUGGUCUGUCAUAAUAUAAUAGAUAAAUUAGAUCUAGCUGGUCUGUCAUAAUAUAAUAGAGACAGUAGAUCUAGCUGGUCUGUCAUACUAUAAUUGUGACAGUAGGUCUAGCUGGUCUGUCAUAUA
ensembl:lncRNA